UACGGAGGGUGCAAGCGUUAUCCGGAUUCACUAGGUUUAAAGGGUGCGUAGGUGGGCAGGUAAGUCAGUGGUGAAAUCUCCGGGCUUAACUCGGAAACUGCCAUUGAUACUAUCUGUCUUGAAUACCGUGGAGGUCAGCGGAAUAUGUCAUGUAGCGGUGAAAUGCUUAGAUAUGACAUAGAACACCAAUUGCGAAGGCAGCUGGCUACACGAAUAUUGACACUGAUGCACGAAAGCGUGGGGAUCAAACAGG
rnacentral:rRNA from 1 species